GAUGAAGAACGUAGCGAAAUGCGAUAAGUAAUGUGAAUUGCAGAAUUCAGUGAAUCAUCGAAUCUUUGAACGCACAUUGCGCCCCCCAGUAUUCUGGCGGGCAUGCCUGUUCGAGCGUCAUUUCAACCAUCAAGCCCUGCUUGUGUUGGGGUCCUGCGGCUGCCCGCAGGCCCUGAAAACCAGUGGCGGGCUCGCUGUCACACCGAGCGCAGUAGCACAUCUCGCUCAGGGCGUGCGGCGGGCUCCAGCCGUUAAAGCACCCACCUUUCGCAAGGUUGACCUCGGAUCAGGUAGGAAUACCCGCUGAACUUAAGCAUAUCAAUAAGCGGAGGA
rnacentral:misc_RNA from 1 species